UACGGCCUCAUCACGUUGAAACACCAGUGCCCAUACGAUCACCGAAGUUAAGCAACACCGAGACUGAUCAUUACAUAGAUAGGUGACCACUUGGCAAUACCGAGUGCUGUAAG